CCUACGUGAGACAGCAGUGAGGAAUAUUGGUCAAUGGGCGCGAGCCUGAACCAGCCAAGUAGCGUGAAGGAUGACUGCCCUACGGGUUGUAAACUUCUUUUAUAAAGGAAUAAAGUGAGGCACGUGUGCCUUUUUGUAUGUACUUUAUGAAUAAGGAUCGGCUAACUCCGUGCCAGCAGCCGCGUUAAUACGGAGGAUCCGAGCGUUAUCCGGAUUUAUUGGGUUUACAGGGAGCGUAGAUGGGUUGUUAAGUCAGUUGUGAAAGUUUGCGGCUCAACCGUAAAAUUGCAAUUGAUACUGGCAGUCUUGAGUACAGUUGAGGUAGGCGGAAUUCGUGGUGUAGCGGUGAAAUGCUUAGAUAUCACGAAGAACUCCGAUUGCGAAGGCAGCUUACUAAACUGCCACUGACAUUGAUGCUCGAAAGUGUGGGUAUCAAACAGGAUUAGAUACCCCGGUAGUC
rnacentral:rRNA from 1 species